CACGAACCCGACAAACGUUAUUCGGAAUUAUUGGGCUUAAAGGGUGCGUAGGCGGUGCGGUAAGUGCGGUGUGAAAGCCCACGGCUCAACCGCGGAAUUGCGCUGCAUACUGCCGUGCUGGAGGAAGACAGGGGUAAGCGGAACUGAUGGUGGAGCGGUGACAUGCGUUGAUAUCAUCAGGAACACCGGUGGCGAAAUCGGCUUACUGGGUCUUUUCUGACGCUGAGGCACGAAAGCUAGGGUAGCGAACGGG
rnacentral:rRNA from 1 species